rnacentral:rRNA from 1 species
CAGCAGCCACGGUAAUACGAAGGGGGCUAGCGUUGUUCGGAAUAACUGGGCGUAAAGGGCGCGUAGGCGGAUCUUUAAGUCAGGGGUGAAAUCCCAAGGCUCAACCUUGGAACUGCCUUUGAUACUGGAGAUCUUGAGUCCGGGAGAGGUGAGUGGAACUGCGAGUGUAGAGGUGAAAUUCGUAGAUAUUCGCAAGAACACCAGUGGCGAAGGCGGCUCACUGGCCCGGUACUGACGCUGAGGCGCGAAAGCGUGGGGAGCAAACAGGAUUAGAUACCCCCGUAGUCCCUGUCUCUUAUAA